CAUGAAAGCUAAAGCUCUUGUUCCUCUAGCAAUAGCCCUAGCCCAACAAACUCUUAUACAAUUCAAUCAAUUUAUUCAAGCCACUUUAAUUAGGGGUACAACAAAUGUAUGUUCUAGUUUCCUUCGUACUUCCCCCAAGUAUGCCCAAACCUUCCCCAGUAUGCCAAAUUCAUUCCACUUAUGUUUGGGUAAAAAAAUCACCACAAAGUUCAUAAUGGCGUGACGUAACAACAGUCGAGCGGAACUCGAAAAAGUCGGAAAGACUGUGGAGGAAGGGGCCACUCAUUUUACUGAUACGCGAAGCAAGCACGAGUACUCGUGCCAUUCCGAGUGACGGGUAAUCGCAUUUUCCCCUGAAUACACUGCAUAUUCCCCCCCAACCACCCACUCGUACAACAAACAAAAAAGCAACCCACCAUUGCCCCACCUUCCCACAGCGAGAGAGAGAGAGAGAGCUCGAGCGCCACGUGGUCCGUGUGCUGCGGCCUUCUGAUCGCCUGCUACGAUAGUCAAGACUUCCCCAUGUCGGCGUGUGUACGCGCGCCUCAACUGCGACUAAAAAGUGGAGCUCCCCCAAAGGUAGAGUCUCCCCAAAAGUGGAGCCUCCCAAUCGUAGGCCGCAACAGCCUUGAGAAGGUCUCGUGUAAUGGUGGUGUAGUGGGCCUGUACCCCUCAAAUACUGCCAUCUCUGUCUGGCUCGGUCCCUGCUCUUUCCUAGAGCUCCCCAACAUUUCACACGAUUACUCGUAUGUACGUUCCCCAACCGAUUGGCGAUGGGAAAGACUCUGCGAAUGCGAACACGAAUACUAUCAGCAACGUUCGCCAUGCUAUGCUUUCUGUUAGCCCGCUUUGCUAGUAGCCAUCUUUUUCGAUUUUUUGCCCAAUGAGACAAAAAAGAAAAGUAAAACGGAACGGAACCACGGUCUUUGUGAGGAUGGUGGCCUGUUGUUCUCGUUGCGGAUUGUAUGCAUGUCUAGGCGUGCGAUUCUGCUGUUCUACCCCUGAUUUUCGGCAUUGGUGUUACCAUUUUUGAGUGGUGCACAACUUCUGUUUUCCUGGUGUAAUUAAGCAAACGAAAUAUAAUAAUAAUAAAUUAUAAUGUUAGAAGGCGUGCCCCAUACGCUAAAGAGUCUUCCCCUGGCAUAAGAAUUGUCGCCUAUCUUCGAGGAGGGACACAACCUGGGGGCCAUUGCUUCGUUUGUGUGUUUUAAACAUAAACGAACAGGCUCUAAGAAAUUUUCAACUCGGCUAAAAGUAAUGCCCCGCUAUUUUGCUAUAAAAAACGUUGGAAAUUAUAGUUCGAAAAUGGAAAAUGCCCCCCUAUCUAUCAUUUUGUUAUGUUAAUUUUACAGCCACCGUCAACCAUUCGAUGUUAGUAUACUGAAACCUGAACGCCAGUUAAAGUACACAGCUGUACAGCGACACUCCAGACCCCCAACUGCAGUCAAGAGAACACUCCAAGCCUUACUCAAACCACUUUUCCAUCAUCAUCUCCACCUCUAGUCGCGGCUCUAGCACCAUCUCCACCUCUAGUUCCCAAGCUCCAGCUGCAUCUCCAUCGCCAUUUCCAGCUUCUGGCGGCGGUUCCCCAUUUCCUGGCAAAGUUGCGGCCAGAUUUUUGCCAUUUCUAUGAAAACUUGGUAGCUCUUGGGUUGCUUCUAAUGAUUUUCUAUGCCCACCGCUGUUAAAGAGCUCCCCAUCGGCAAACGUCAACACUGCGCGGAUCCACACUGUGGGUACGGUACAGUGUAUGGUGUGUGUGUGCCACACCGCCUUGCCUGGCAACAAUCUGUUGAAUGCGCCUUCUGUCUGGUGUGUUGUGUGGCGUUUCGUGGCGCGGUUGAGAAAUGUACGUUCUUGGUGGAGUUUGCGUCAUGCGAUGUUAAGUGAACAGGCGAACAGAGACCAGCCGAUGGAUGACGUAAGACGUAACGGCAAAAGGCGCAACGAAGCGAAAGAGAUGGCUAUAUAUAGAGGACAGACAGCCAGAAGGUCGCACAACUUGUUCACUGUGUGUGUGGGUGUGUUUGCUGCGAGAGAUAGAAUGUGUGUGCGAGUGUGUGUUUCGUAUCGGUGUGUCUGACUGUCUGGGGCCAAUGUACUCGGUCAGUGCAUUGCACUCGCACUCAGUCAUCCCAAUCCUCUUUGUUAUGCCUCUUCGCGUUGUUCUGUAUCUCGGUAUCUUGAGUUUGACGAUCGGACGAAAAGAGCAAAGACGGGAGUAGACGCUCUUUGGUAUAGGGUGGAUCAGUUCAAGCGAUUGAUUGGAGUUCUCUUACCUGAAGGUUACUGUAAAGAGGGUCACACUGUAUGUAUGUGCGACUAUGUUAAAAGUUGAAUAAAUAUUUGAAAUAAUGGCUGCCAAAUUGCUAUUAUUCCAAACCAAAUGGGAUCACCAGACCAGACCAGGCCUUUGAAAUUCCCCUUAGAUUAAAAAGUCGCUAAAAAUUAAUUAAAUAAUUAUUGGAAAUGCAAUAUAAUAAUCGUUUCAAUUAGUUCCAUUUUGAAAUCAUUGAGCUAUGGCUCUUUAUUUCGAGUGUAAUGCGGCAUUCCCUCUUUCGCCCAAUCAGUAGGGGCUAUGUGUACUUACUAUGUAGCAUUAUCGUCUACUUGUUCCUGCUAGGCACUCUAUGCCUAGAUAAUGUACUAGUAAUAAUACUCCAUAGAUACUCUUUCAGCUUCUGCUUCCUACCUGGUGCCAAGUCAACUAAAUGAUGCACUGAGAACUUAUAGAGGAGAAUGAAGCUGCCCUCCGCCCCAUGCACCGUGGCUGCACUAUGUUGCAGUUACGACAUCGUCAUCG
rnacentral:lncRNA from 1 species